CACUUCCAAGAACUUCUUGAUUGUCGUUUAUGGAUUCUUCAUGAAAUUCGGGUUUGUUGGCUUGGAUGGACCAAGUGUCGGUUUCACUGGAAAAACUCUGAUGGUGUCUGAUGAAUGGCACAGAGGAUUGGCUCCAAGAACUUCUUGAUUGUCGUUUAUGGAUUCCUCAUGAAAUUCAGGUUUGUUGGCUUGGAUGGACCAAGUGUCGGUUUCACUGGAAAAACCCUGAUUGUGUCUGAUGAAUGGCACAGAGGAUUGGCCAUAGAUGUGCCUUGCUGCUUUUCAAAAAGGGUAUUAAUCUUUAUUAAAUUAUGUUACAGUCCCUGUAAUACUUUUCAUUUGGCAGCUGUCUUUAAAACAAUUUUUGGACCGUCUACUUCAUGCAAGUUAAGCUACUGUCUAUUUUAAUAGGUAAAUAGAUUAAACAUUAAAAUAUGGAUUCAUUAUUGUAUAUAAAACAGUAAAGGCAUAAUUUGAAAAUCAAAGCCUUGUACAUCAUAGGAAAAAAUCUGAAUAUUUUACAGUAAAAAAAACAAUAGAUAGGUUAACAUGAAUGUGGUUAAUGAGCAACAUCCUAAUUACGGUAACAGUUUUUGUCGACAUGUGAAGUAAAUGUCAGUAAAUCAGUAAAUUUAUAUUUCUAGUUCUCAAGAAAGUUAAUGUUAUUUUUUUCCCCCCUUCUAAGCACUUCCAAGAACUUCUUGAUUGUCUUUUAUGGAUUCUUCAUGAAAUUCGGGUUUGUUGGCUUGGAUGGACCAAGUGUCGGUUUCACUGGAAAAACUCUGAUGGUGUCUGAUGAAUGGCACAGAGGAUUGGCCAUAGAUGUGCCUUGCUGCUUUUCAAAAAGGCAUUGGAGUCUGAAAGCCCCACACCUUCCACUACCUAAUUAAAGCUAAAGCAGUUGAGUACACUUUCUUCCAUUCAUAAUUAUAUGAGUGUACCAUAUUUGUCAUAUCUGAAGUCUUUGAUGAUAUCUCCUGUUUCAGCUCGGAAUGUCUAUCUAUCGAAUUGUUUAUUUAUUGUUUAUUUUCUUUUUAUUUUAUUUAUUUAUUUUUUCUUUUUAUUACUUAUACGUUAAUUUGUUUUAUUUUAUUUUGUUUUAUUUUCUUUUAUUUAUUUAUUUAUUUUUCUUUUUCCUUUUUUUUCUAGGUUGUGGCCUGAAUUUUUUUGUGUGUGUGUGUGUUUUGUGUGUGUGUUUGUUUCUGGCUGUUGACCGGGGGUGGUCACUGAUUGCCAUGAUAACAAUAGCUGGUGGCGAUGAACGCACGCGAGUCGAUAAUAAGCCAAUGGAUAAAGAAGGAGUCAGUCACGCUGAACACGAGUCUUCUCACUGUGUAUGAUACGUUGAUGGUUGAGAGGUAAGCAUGGUAUGAUAGGUGGAAAUGUAUGGUUUUAUGAUAGUAUGUUUGACAUUGUUGGGAUUGUUAACUUUUUUUUAA
rnacentral:lncRNA from 1 species